rnacentral:rRNA from 1 species
UGGGGAAUAUUGGACAAUGGGCGCAAGCCUGAUCCAGCAAUGCCGCGUGUGUGAAGAAGGCCUUCGGGUUGUAAAAGCACUUUUAUCAGGAGCGAAACGCUGUCGCUAAUACCCGGCGGAACUGACGGUACCUGAGGAAUAAGCACCGGCUAACUUCGUGCCAGCAGCCGCGGUAAUACGAAGGGUGCAAGCGUUAAUCGGAAUUACUGGGCGUAAAGCGUGCGUAGGCGUUUCUUAAGUCUGCUGUGAAAUCCCCGGGCUCAACCUGGGAAUGGCAGUGGAUACUGGGAGGCUAGAGUGUGUCAGAGGGUGGUGGAAUUCCCGGUGUAGCGGUGAAAUGCGUAGAGAUCGGGAGGAACAUCAGUGGCGAAGGCGGCCACCUGGGACAACACUGACGCUGAGGCACGAAAGCGUGGGGGAGCAAACAGGAUUAGAUACCCUGGUAGUCCACGCCCUAAACGAUGCGAACUGGAUGUUGGUCUCAACUCGGAGAUCAGUGUCGAAGCUAACGCGUUAAGUUCGCCGCCU